CAUAUUCCAACAGUUGUUAUUACAUUGGUAAGGAAAGAAGAACUUGGGAAGAGAGUUUGCUGGCCUGUACUUCGAAGAACUCCAGUCUGCUUUCUAUAGAUAAUGAAGAAGAAAUGAAAUUUCUGGCCAGCAUUUUACCUUCCUCAUGGAUUGGUGUGUUUCGUAACAGCAGUCAUCAUCCAUGGGUGACAAUAAAUGGUUUGGCUUUCAAACAUAAUACAUGGAAAAUGCUUUCGUCUCAUGAAUCAUUUGCUUAAAAUGUAACAGAAAAUGGAUUUUUCUCCAUUACAGGAUAAAAGACUCAGAUAAUGCUGAACUUAACUGUGCAGUGCUACAAGUAAAUCGACUUAAAUCAGCCCAGUGUGGAUCUUCAAUGAUAUAUCAUUGUAAGCAUAAGCUUUAGAAGUAAAGCAUUUGCGUUUGCAGUGCAUCAGAUACAUUUUAUAUUUCUUAAAAUAGAAAUAUUAUGAUUGCAUAAAUCUGAAAAUGAAUUAUGUUAU
rnacentral:lncRNA from 1 species